rnacentral:rRNA from 1 species
UACGGGGGGGGCAAGCGUUGUUCGGCAUUACUGGGCGUAAAGGGCUCGUAGGCGGCCAACUAAGUCGGAUGUGAAAUCCCCAGGCUCAACCUGGGAACUGCAUCCGAUACUGGACGGCUUGAAUUCGGGAGAGGGAUGCAGAAUUCCAGGUGUAGCGGUGAAAUGCGUAGAUAUCUGGAGGAAUACCGGUGGCGAAGGCGGCAUCCUGGACCGACAUUGACGCUGAGGAGCGAAAGCCAGGGGAGCAAACGGG